rfam:Avian encephalomyelitis virus strain van Reokel, complete genome.
GCACAAUGUAGUAGGAUAUGGAAGACCGAGUUUGUGGAAGAGAAGAUAUCUGUGGGGUCUAAAACGAAGUAUCACAAGUCCCCUUUAUAUGAUUUUUGUCCACAGGAGGUUGUUAAAUGUCCCACUAAGUUGUUC